rnacentral:rRNA from 1 species
ACUCCUACGGGAGGCAGCAGUGGGGAAUAUUGCACAAUGGGGGGAAACCCUGAUGCAGCCAUGCCGCGUGUAUGAAGAAGGCCUUCGGGGUUGUAAAGUACUUUUCAGCAGUGAGGAAGGUGGAUAUGUUAAUAGCAUAUUCAUUUUGACGUUAGCUGCAGAAAGAAGCACCGGCUAACUCCGUGCCAGCAGCCGCGGUAAUACGGAGGGUGCGAGCGUUAAUCGGAAUUACUGGGCGUAAAGCGCAUGCAGGUGGUUUGUUAAGUCAGAUGU